rnacentral:rRNA from 1 species
GGCUUCGGGUUGUACACUGCUGCCGACGGAGGAAAAGGUCUCUCUACUACAGUGGGUCAUGACGGUACCGAAGAAUAUCACCGGCUAACUACGUGCCAGCAGCCGCGGUAAUACGUAGGGUGCGAGCGUGAAUCGGAAUUACUGGGCGUAAAGCGUGCGCAGGCGGUUUUGUAACGACAGGCGUGAAAUCCCCGGGCUCAACCUGGGAAUGGCGCUUGUGACUGCAAGGCUGGAGUGCGGGAGAGGGGGAUGGACUUCCGCGUGUAGCAGUGAAAUGCGUAGAUAUGCGGAGGAACACCGAUGGCGAAGGCAAUCCCCUGGGCCUGCACUGACGCUCAUGCACGAAAGCGUGGGGAGCAAACAGGAUUAGAUACCCUGGUAGUCCACACCCUAAACGAUGUCAACUGGUUGUUGGGUCUUUACUGACUCAGUAACGAAGCUAACGCGUGAAGUUGACCGCCUGGGGAGUACGGNCGCAAGGUUGAAACUCAAAGGAAUUGAUGGGGACCCGCACAAGCGGUGGAUGAUGUGGUUUAAUUCGAUGCAACGCGAAAAACCUUACCCACCUUUGACAUGGCAGGAAGUUCCAGAGAUGGUUCGUGUCGAAAGAGACUGCACCCGGUGCUGAUGGCUGUCGCGCUCGUGUCGUGAGAUGU